UACGAAGGGUGCAAGCGUUAAUCGGAAUUACUGGGCGUAAAGGGUGCGUAGGCGGUUGUUUAAGUCUGUCGUGAAAUCCCCGGGCUCAACCUGGGAAUGGCGAUGGAUACUGGGCAGCUAGAGUGUGUCAGAGGGGGGUAGAAUUCCACGUGUAGCAGUGAAAUGCGUAGAGAUGUGGAGGAAUACCGAUGGCGAAGGCAGCCCCCUGGGAUAACACUGACGCUCAUGCACGAAAGCGUGGGGAGCAAACAGG
rnacentral:rRNA from 1 species